UCAAAACUUUCAACAACGGAUCUCUUGGUUCUCGCAUCGAUGAAGAACGCAGCGAAACGCGAUAUGUAAUGUGAAUUGCAGACUUUGUGAAUCAUCGAAUCUUUGAACGCACAUUGCGCCCUCUGGUAUUCCGGAGGGCAUACCUGUUUGAGCGUCAGUUCUCUCUC
rnacentral:rRNA from 1 species